AACGGUCAUACCGUGUUGAAAACACCGGUUCUCGUCCGAUCAUCGAAGUUAUACAACAUUGGGCGUGGUUAGCACUUGGAUGGGUGACCGCUUGGGAACACCACGUGCUGUUG
rnacentral:rRNA from 1 species